AGUGAACGCUGGCGGUAGGCCUAACACAUGCAAGUCGAACGGCAGCACAGUAAGAGCUUGCUCUUACGGGUGGCGAGUGGCGGACGGGUGAGGAAUACAUCGGACUCUACUUUUUCGUGGGGGAUAACGUAGGGAAACUUACGCUCAUACAGCAUACGACCUACGGGUGAAAGCAGGGGAUCUUCGGACCUUGCGCGAAUGAAUGAGCCGAUGUCGGAUUAGCUAGUUGGCGGGGUAAAGGCCCACCAAGGGGACGAUCCGUAGCUGGUCUGAGAGGAUGAUCAGCCACACUGGAACUGAGACACGGUCCAGACUCCUACGGGAGGCAGCAGUGGGGAAUAUUGGACAAUGGGCGCAAGCCUGAUCCAGCCAUACCGCGUGGGUGAAGAAGGCCUUCGGGUUGUAAAGCCCUUUUGUUGGGAAAGAAAAGCAGCAGGUUAAUACCCCGCUGUUCUGACGGUACCCAAAGAAUAAGCACCGGCUAACUUCGUG
rnacentral:rRNA from 1 species